GGAUGAACGCUGGCGGCGUGCCUACUACAUGCAAGUCGAGCGAACGGACGAGAAGCUUGCUUCUCUGAUGUUAGCGGCGGACGGGUGAGUAACACGUGGAUAACCUACCUAUAAGACUGGGAUAACUUCGGGAAACCGUAGCUAAUACCGGAUAAUAUUUUGAACCGCAUGGUUCAAAAGUGAAAGACGGUCUUGCUGUCACUUAUAGAUGGAUCCGCGCUGCAUUAGCUAGUUGGUAAGGUAACGGCUUACCAAGGCAACGAUGCAUAGCCGACCUGAGAGGGUGAUCGGCCACACUGGAACUGAGACACGGUCCAGACUCCUACGGGAGGCAGCAGUAGGGAAUCUUCCGCAAUGGGCGAAAGCCUGACGGAGCAACGCCGCGUGAGUGAUGAAGGUCUUCGGAUCGUAAAACUCUGUUAUUAGGGAAGAACAUAUGUGUAAGUAACUGUGCACAUCUUGACGGUACCUAAUCAGAAAGCCACGGCUAACUACGUG
rnacentral:rRNA from 1 species